AUAUUAUUGUUGAUUUAAUGUAUAGAGUGAAAGAAACCUUUGUAAGCGGAAACAUGCGAUGAUGCUUGCGUUACCAUAAGCAAUCCCUGUUGUUUAUUUUACCAUCCUAUUGUUUACCGAAUACUGCUCGAUUCUUGGAAGCAUUAGUUGUGGACUUAAAAAAAAUUUAAAACGAGCUCUCCCUCACCUUUGUCUAAUAUCAAAAGGUGACAGCGCCAUUUGUUCAAUUUCAUUUAUCAAAAGCGAUGUAACUUAAUAUGUCUUCAUGUCCGUAAAACGACAAAAAAAUUUGGAUACAAUAGCAUACUUGACUUAUAUUAAAGAAAACCUUAGUGACCCU